CCUACGGGAGGCAGCAGUGAGGAAUAUUGGUCAAUGGGCGCGAGCCUGAACCAGCCAAGUCGCGUGAGGGAGGACGGCCCUACGGGUUGUAAACCUCUUUUGCCGGGGAGCAACGGGCGUCACGUGUGGCGCCACUGAGAGUACCCGGAGAAAAAGCAUCGGCUAACUCCGUGCCAGCAGCCGCGGUAAUACGGAGGAUGCGAGCGUUAUCCGGAUUGAUUGGGUUUAAGGGGUGCGUAGGCGGAUCGUUAAGUCAGUGGUCAAAUUGAGGGGCUCAACCCCUUCCCGCCAUUGAAACUGGCGCUCUUGAGUGGGCGAGAAGAAGGCGGAAUGCGUGGUGUAGCGGUGAAAUGCAUAGAUAUCACGCAGAACCCCGAUUGCGAAGGCAGCCUUCCGGCGCCCUACUGACGCUGAGGCACGAAAGUGCGGGGAUCGAACAGGAUUAGAUACCCGUGUAGUC
rnacentral:rRNA from 1 species